UACGGGGGGAGCAAGCGUUGUUCGGAUUUACUGGGCGUAAAGGGCGCGUAGGCGGCCACCGCAAGUCGACUGUGAAAUCUCCGGGCUUAACCCGGAAAGGUCAGCCGAUACUGCGGGGCUAGAGUGCAGAAGGGGCAACUGGAAUUCUCGGUGUAGCGAUGAAAUGCGUAGAUAUCGAGAGGAACACCUGCGGCGAAGGCGGGUUGCUGGGCUGACACUGACGCUGAGGCGCGAAAGCUAGGGGAGCGAACGGG
rnacentral:rRNA from 1 species